rnacentral:tRNA from 1 species
GGCCUGUUAGCUCAGUUGGUUAGAGCGUCGGGAUAAUCACGCGAAGGUCGCAGGUUCGAGACCUGCAUGGACCA